rnacentral:rRNA from 1 species
CAGUAGCCGCGGGAACACGUAGGUGGCAAGCGUUGUCCGGAAUUAUUGGGCGUAAAGGGCUCGCAGGCGGUUUCUUAAGUCUGAUGUGAAAGCCCCCGGCUCAACCGGGGAGGGUCAUUGGAAACUGGGAAACUUGAGUGCAGAAGAGGAGAGUGGAAUUCCACGCGUAGCGGUGAAAUGCGUAGAGAUGUGGAGGAACACCAGUGGCGAAGGCGACUCUCUGGUCUGUAACUGACGCUGAGGAGCGAAAGCGUGGGGAGCGAACAGGAUUAGAGACCCGCGUAGUCCCUGUCUCUUAUAC